GUGAAACUCAAAGGAAUUGACGGGGACCCGCACAAGUAGCGGAGCAUGUGGUUUAAUUCGAAGCAACGCGAAGAACCUUACCUAAGCUUGACAUCACAAUGACAUCUCCUUAAUCGGAGAGUUCCCUUCGGGGACAUUGGUGACAGGUGGUGCAUGGUUGUCGUCAGCUCGUGUCGUGAGAUGUUGGGUUAAGUCCCGCAACGAGCGCAACCCUUGUCUUUAG
rnacentral:rRNA from 1 species